rnacentral:rRNA from 1 species
UACGGAGGGUGCAAGCGUUAUCCGGAUUCACUGGGUUUAAAGGGUGCGUAGGUGGGCUAGUAAGUCAGUGGUGAAAUCUCCGGGCUUAACCCGGAAACUGCCAUUGAUACUAUUAGUCUUGAAUGUCGUGGAGGUAAGCGGAAUAUGUCAUGUAGCGGUGAAAUGCUUAGAUAUGACAUAGAACACCAAUUGCGAAGGCAGCUUACUACAGGGACAUUGACACUGAGGCACGAAAGCGUGGGGAUCAAACAGG